rnacentral:tRNA from 1 species
GCGGUCAUAGCUCAACGGUAGAGCAUCUGCUUCCCAAGCAGAAGGUUGCGGAUUCGAUCUCCGUUGACCGCU